rnacentral:rRNA from 1 species
GACGAACGCUGGCGGCGUGCUUAACACAUGCAAGUCGAACGGAAAGGCCCUGCUUUUGUGGGGUGCUCGAGUGGCGAACGGGUGAGUAACACGUGAGUAACCUGCCCUUGACUUUGGGAUAACUUCAGGAAACUGGGGCUAAUACCGGAUAGGAGCUCCUGCUGCAUGGUGGGGGUUGGAAAGUUUCGGCGGUUGGGGAUGGACUCGCGGCUUAUCAGCUUGUUGGUGGGGUAGUGGUUUACCAAGGCUUUGACGGGUAGCCGGCCUGAGAGGGUGACCGGCCACAUUGGGACUGAGAUACGGCCCAGACUCCUACGGGAGGCAGCAGUGGGGAAUAUUGCACAAUGGGCGGAAGCCUGAUGCAGCAACGCCGCGUGCGGGAUGACGGCCUUCGGGUUGUAAACCGCCUUCGCCUGUGACGAAGCGUGAGUGACGGUAAUGGGUAAAGAAGCACCGGCUAACUACGUG